rfam:Gossypium arboreum cultivar AKA8401 contig_59162_3, whole genome shotgun sequence.
AUUCGUAUCAAUACCAGCACUAAUGUAUCGGAUUCUAUUAGAACUCCGCAGUUAAGCAUGCUUGGGCGAGAGUAGUACUAGGAUGGGUGACCUCCUGGGAAGUCCUCGUGUUGCACCCC